UUAUUAUAUUUUAAAGGUUGAGUAGAAAUAAAUUUGAAAACAAAUGCUUGAAAAUAAUAAAAGAAUAUAUAAAAUAAAUGUACCAAAAGUUAUAAAGACAUAUAACAAUAAUAGUUAUCAAGUACAUAAAUGUCUAGUAAUCCUCCUUAGUCAUGAAGGCGCCAUCAUCCUCACAACGAGUAGCAGCAGCACCAGAAGAACCGGCUGGUAGAGAUACUGGACCAGUCAGUCCCGGUAGAGGCAUGAUAUGAAGUUGGCAGAGAAACAUCUGCACCAUCUGCUCCAUUGUCCUCUCCAAAUUGGCUAUCCGUGUGUCAUAUUCCUGGUCUACGUUAC
rnacentral:lncRNA from 1 species